UCCUACGGGAGGCAGCAGUAGGGAAUCUUGCGCAAUGGGCGAAAGCCUGACGCAGCAAUGCCGCGUGCGGGACGAAGGCCCUAGGGUCGUAAACCGCUUUCAGUAGGGACGAAAAUGACGGUACCUGCAGAAGAAGCUCCGGCCAACUACGUGCCAGCAGCCGCGGUGAUACGUAGGGAGCAAGCGUUGUCCGGAAUUACUGGGCGUAAGGGCUUCGUAGGUGGUUGAGUAAGUCAGAUGUGAAAUCUCAGGGCCCAACCCUGAGCCUGCAUUUGAUACUGCUCUGACUAGAGUCCGGUAGGGGAGUGCGGAACUCCUGGUGUAGCGGUGAAAUGCGCAGAUAACAGGAAGAACACCGACAGCGAAGGCAGCACUCUGGGCCGGUACUGACACUGAGGAGCGAAAGCAUGGGUAGCAAACAGGAUUAGAUACCCUGGUAGUCCAUGCCGUAAACGUUGGGCACUAGGUGUGGGGAGAACUCAACUCUCUCCGCGCCGUAGCUAACGCAUUAAGUGCCCCGCCUGGGGAGUACGGCCGCAAGGCUAAAACUCAAAGGAAUUGACGG
rnacentral:rRNA from 1 species